AGAGUUUGAUCCUGGCUCAGAGUGAACGCUGGCGGUAGGCCUAACACAUGCAAGUCGAACGGCAGCACAGUAAGAGCUUGCUCUUACGGGUGGCGAGUGGCGGGCGGGUGAGGAAUACAUCGGAAUCUACUUUUUCGUGGGGGAUAACGUAGGGAAACUUACGCUAAUACCGCAUACGACCUACGGGUGAAAGCAGGGGAUCUUCGGACCUUGCGCGAUUGAAUGAGCCGAUGUCGGAUUAGCUAGUUGGCGGGGUAAAGGCCCACCAAGGCGACGAUCCGUAGCUGGUCUGAGAGGAUGAUCAGCCACACUGGAACUGAGACACGGUCCAGACUCCUACGGGAGGCAGCAGUGGGGAAUAUUGGACAAUGGGCGCAAGCCUGAUCCAGCCAUACCGCGUGGGUGAAGAAGGCCUUCGGGUUGUAAAGCCCUUUUGUUGGGAAAGAAAUCCAGCUGGUUAAUACCCGGUUGGGAUGACGGUACCCAAAGAAUAAGCACCGGCUAACUUCGUGCCAGCAGCCGCGGUAAUACGAAGGGUGCAAGCGUUACUCGGAAUUACUGGGCGUAAAGCGUGCGUAGGUGGUUGUUUAAGUCUGUUGUGAAAGCCCUGGGCUCAACCUGGGAACUGCAGUGGAAACUGGACGACUAGAGUGUGGUAGAGGGUAGCGGAAUUCCUGGUGUAGCAGUGAAAUGCGUAGAGAUCAGGAGGAACAUCCAUGGCGAAAGCAGCUACCUGGACCAACACUGACACUGAGGCACGAAAGCGUGGGGAGCAAACAGGAUUAGAUACCCU
rnacentral:rRNA from 1 species